GCGUGUGUGAAGAAGGCCUGCGGGUUGUAAAGCACUUUCAGUUGUGAAGAUUGAUUUGAUGAUUAAUACCCAUCAGAUUUGACAUUAGCAACAUAAGAAGCACCGGCUAACUCCGUGCCAGCAGCCGCGGUAAUACGGAGGGUGCAAGCGUUAAUCGGAAUUACUGGGCGUAAAGCGCGCGUAGGCAGCUAAGCCAGUCAUAUGUGAAAUCCCCGGGCUUAACCUGGGAAUUGCAUCUGAUACUGCUUGGCUAGAGUAUGUUAGAGGAAAGCGGAAUUCCGGGUGUAGCGGUGAAAUGCGU
rnacentral:rRNA from 1 species